ensembl:lncRNA
GUUACUAUCUGAGCCACCUAUGUGGACAAUUUGGGAUUUAAGAGUAUUUUGGAUUUCAAAAUUCUGGAUAAGGGAUAUACUCAAACACACUUCAUUUCCCACUAUUUUCUCACAGUGAAAAUACAUUUAUUCUUUAAGGUAUUAUUAUGACUUUCCACUGGAUGUCUCCCUUCUCCACCUUUGAAGGAAAUGUUCUCUCAGACUUGUUUAUAAGUAGAAACAACUAUGUCUAGAUCUGAAUAAACUUGAACUUGGAAGAAUGCAGACCAGUGUGAUCUUUCAUACUGAGGUAAGCUUUUAAAGCAAGAUGAAAGUGAAAUUCUUCUUAACUCAUGCUGCUUACAUGCUGUAGGUAAUGGACAGAAAACAAACAUUCCAUGUUGAUUCAGAGUGAUUUUUACCAGGCAGGGAUGGUGGAUUACCUUUCCUAGGAUUUUGUUACUAUCAAGCAAAACCCUCCUUCUGUUUCUGAGGCGUACAACAGAGUUGGGAGGACAAUAGCUUUAUAAACUAGCAUCUUGAUAUUCCUACGAAUGUCCUGAUCCUCAAACGCUCUCUGCUUCAUUUAAGAAAAUGCUUCAUUCGCAGAGCUCCGUAUUUCAAUGUUGGUGUUGACUUUUGUGGAGAGGUGGAUGUCUAGGUAGCAGAAAUGAUCAACAUUUGGUAGAGUUACACCAUUAAGCUUUAUUUCUGACAUUGCAAAGGGUUUGGUUAGUGCUGGUUGGCAGACCACUUUGGUUUUCUCAGUGUUCAGUGAGAGGCCAAGCUUUUCAUAUGCUUCUGUAAAGGUGUUUAAAGUGGCUUGGAAGUUUUCCUCUGAAUGAGAACAGACUCUGUUCUAACUAUUCAUCAUAUUACAUUUUGCUCUAUGGGCAUUCUAUUGAUGUCUGUGAACAUAAUGUCUAUUUAUUGUGAAGGCAAUACCAAAAGGAAAGUAUAAACCAUGCCAGCUAAUUUCCUGCCAGCAUGGAAAAAAUCAUUUCUGGACUAUGAAAUUUUGAGCCAGCGACUUCACAGAUCUUUGUGUUUCUUCCUAUUUCAGGCUUCCUCGAGAUUACUGGUAUAUAAACAUGCUAUGGUGCGUUGCUUUCUUUCCAAGAAUGGUUGUGGGGGCCUCAAUAAGACUCCCAGUUAACAACCUGCCCCUGCCACUCCAAAUCUUUGCCCAUCUUGGUGUUGAAAAACCCGUUUGGAAAGUUGCUUGAUUUUUUUUCUUUCAAUUAUUUCUUCUCAUACAACAGCCACUCACUAUUUUCUUGGACUUGUGUAGACUGUGUACCUGCACAAUACAAGAAGCUAUGUUUCAUCCAGUACAUAAUUUGACACACUCCUGCACGUGAGACUGCAUGACAUUUGGGUAUAUGUGUACUUACUCAUGUGAUUCCUAUAUAGAAAACUGAGCUCACUGCAAAUACUUGUCUCCAGUUUUUUAUGGUAGUCCAGGAGGACCCCCAAAUUGUAGACCUAUGUAUUCAGGGGGAUGUAACCCCAUCCAACACAUGCUGAAUUCCUGCUCCCUGAUUUGCCUUUCAACAGAUUAGGAGCAGCUCUGUGUUAUCUGGAUUAAGAAUAAUUUCUUUGUUGGUAACUGCCCUGAGUCCCCAAGAGGAGAUAGGGUGGGAUAUAAAUAAAUAUUAUUGACAUUGUCAUCAUCAUCAUCAUCUUUGUAUCAGAAAGGAGGAGGUUCAGAUACUGAACCUCCUCACCAGUACAUAUUCUUCCAAAUCUUUAAUGAUCCUGCUUUUAAUUAUGCUCUCCAGGAAUAUACCAAGACCUGAUGUAAAUUCAGUUUCACUCAUCUAUAAGUUCUAGAACCUUCAUUCAAACUCCUUUAAAAAAAAAGCACUAUUACAUUGGCUACUUUCUAAUGCUUUAGUAAGAAGUGUCAGAACCCUGCUACUAGAGCCUGGAUGUGGCUCUGAGUUUCAGGGUCACUGACAUUGAUAAGACACCUGCGUCUCAGGACUCGGAGAAGAAACGGGUGCUGGACUUGGCGGGGAAUCUGCGCGGGGUUUUGCUGAGCAGGAAGAGACUUUUCAAAUGAGGGGGAGGGUAUAUAAAGGAUGGUUGGCCGGAGCCUCCCAUUCUUGGCUUUUCUGAUGUUUAUGUUUCCUGCAGUAAAGUUUCUGGUGAUAUCACAGAGAGUCUCGUGUGUUCAUUCAGGAGCGGCUGUAGUGAGCUGACACUAAGCCAAGAAUUCGGACACCAUCGCGCUGUAGCGGUGAGGUGCAACAUGCAAGUGGAGGAUGAAGAGCUCUUGGGCGCAGGAGGAGGAAGGUCGGGAAGGUCCACUCCCGAGCCGGACGCUGAGUUCCACCAGCUGGCGCCCUGGCGUCAUCCACCACUUAUGCCCAGCCGAAUGGGGUAAGCCAGAGGCGUGGAGUGGUGCAGGGAGACAGCACCGGAGGAGAGGAAGAUUUAC